AUGUCGAUGAGAGUGUGUUCCCUGCAUUUUCAUUCUGAUUCCACCUCGCAGCGGCCCAGACCACAGACCCGGACUGGUACAGGUACAGCGGAGAGACUCAACGAGGUGGCUGAACAUAACAAAACAAUGAUGAGUCAAAGCAAAGGGAGACGCCCCAAAAAGCAAUCCCAAUCUGAAGCCACCUCAAAUAACACAGAGUCUCCUCCGCUGUCCGUCCAGUCCGCGAGCACACCCUCACAGCGCACUGUGCAGCUUAGACUCCGCCACGCCCUUAAUUCGGCCACGUUAAGUCCCCGCACCAUCACUCCCGAGCGCAGACGGCCGAGUGUAACUACCGACCCCAAGCCUCGACCGAACAAGACGAU
rnacentral:lncRNA from 1 species